GCGGUGGCGGGAACGGGAACGCCGGCGCUCUUUGGAUUUGGAGCGCGAUUCGGAAGCUUUUUUAGCCGGCCACGAAGGCGCCCGAGGUUCUUUGGGCGCUUUGCGUUCCCGCGAGCGUUUGCUUUUCUUCCGCGAUCCCGAACUGGAAGCCGACCGGGUUUGCGAAGGAGGCCGGAAACGUUCGCGCCGUUGCGUGAGGAUCUUGCGCCGCAAAUCGGCCCCUUUCCAGCGCGGGUCGGGCUGGCUGUCGCCGAAGUCCACCUGCAGCGCGGCCUCCUCGUCCGAAUCGGCGUGAAGCGAGAGGAAAUCGUCGCCCUCGGGCAACCGCAGCGCCCGCGGUUCGGCGGCCCGGCACCGGCUCCGGAAAAGCCGGAUGGGGCUGUAACGCUCGUCCUCGGGCUGCACGAUUUCGCCUUCCUCGAUCUCCGAGUCGCCUUCGGCGCCUCCCCAGUCGAGCGGCGCCCGGCGCCCGGCCCGGUGCCGCCCGCUCUUGGCGCCUUUCUCGCCCCGCGCCGGCGCUUUGGGGUUGCCCGCCGUCACCACCUCCAGCGACACUUUUCCUUCCAGCUUGGGAUUGGCCUCGGCUUCCGAGCGGCUCUUGGCUGCCAAAUCGACGACGAAAACGCGCCGCCGCGGUUCCGGCUCGGCUCCGUCCGACUGCUCCGAGGCGUUUUCCUCCUCCGGCAGCGUCGAGUCGGCUCCCGGCGGCUGCUCUUUGGGCUCGGAGGGUUCGGCGGGCGCUUUGUCGGGUCGCGGCGGCCGCGACGCCGGGCUGGAGCUGGGUUCCGCUUCCUCCGGGCCUUUUUCGGAGCCCGGGAAAUCCUGGCUGAGGCUGUUGUCGUCGUAGAUGCCGGCCAACGUCUCCGAGAUGCGGCUGAUGCUGUGCGACAUGUCGGGCCGGGCGGCGGCGGCGGCCGCCUCGUCGUCCUCGUCGUCGGGGCUGGGGCUGCUGCGGGACGAGCUGGGGUUGGAGCCGGUGGGGUCGAAGGGGUCGUACUUCUGGUCCUGCCGCCCUUCGGCCUCUUUGCGGGGCGAGGCGCCGUAGGCGAAGUCGCCGCCGGCGUUGUCCUCGUCCGUGGGGUGGAAAGGGUCAUAAAUAUCGAGGUCGGGCGAGCGGGGAAGGCAGGCGGCGGCGGCGGGC
rnacentral:lncRNA from 1 species